GAUGAAGAACGCAGCGAAAUGCGAUAAGUAGUGUGAAUUGCAGAAUUCAGUGAAUCAUCGAAUCUUUGAACGCACAUUGCGCCCCUUGGUAUUCCAUGGGGCAUGCCUGUUCGAGCGUCAUUUGUACCUUCAAGCUCUGCUUGGUGUUGGGUGUUUGUCUCGCCUCUGCGUGUAGACUCGCCUCAAAACAAUUGGCAGCCGGCGUAUUGAUUUCGGAGCGCAGUACAUCUCGCGCUUUGCACUCAUAACGACGACGUCCAAAAGUACAUUUUUACACUCUUGACCUCGGAUCAGGUAGGGAUACCCGCUGAACUUAAGCAUCUCAAUAAGCGGAGGA
rnacentral:misc_RNA from 1 species